GACGAACUGUCCAAACGUUGUUCGGAAUCACUGGGCUUAAAGGGCGCGUAGGCGGUCGACCAAGUCAGGGGUGAAAUCCUGCAGCUUAACUGUAGAAGUGCCUUUGAUACUGGUCGUCUGGAGGGAGAUAGGGGUGUGUGGAACUUCCAGUGGAGCGGUGAAAUGCGUUGAUAUUGGAAGGAACGCCGGAGGCGAAAGCGACGCACUGGAUCUCUUCUGACGCUGAGGCGCGAAAGCUAGGGGAGCAAACGGG
rnacentral:rRNA from 1 species